UGAGGAAUAUUGGGCAAUGCCCGCAAGGGUGACCCAGCAACGCCGCGUGGAGGAUGAAUGUCGUAAGAUUGUAAACUCCUGUUAGAGGGGAAGAAUAGUACCGGUUGGACCGGUAUAUGACUGUACCCUCAGAGAAAGCCCCGGCUAACUACGUGCCAGCAGCCGCGGUAAUACGUAGGGGGCAAGCGUUGUCCGGAUUUACUGGGUGUAAAGGGCGCGCAGGCGGGAUAAAAAGUCAGUGGUGAAAUCCUACAGCUUAACUGUAGAACUGCCUUUGAUACUUUUAUUCUUGAGCUCGGGAGAGAGAGACGGAAUUCCAGGUGUAGUGGUGAAGUACGUAGAUAUCUGGAAGAACACCAGUUGCGAAGGCGGUCUCUUGGUCCGACACUGACGCUGAGGCGCGAAAGCGUGGGGAGCAAACA
rnacentral:rRNA from 1 species